UACGUAGGGCGCAAGCGUUAUCCGGAAUUAUUGGGCGUAAAGAGCUUGUAGCGGUUGUCGCGUCUGCUGUGAAAUUUCGGGGCUUAACCCCGGGCCUGCAGUGGGUACGGGCAGACUAGAGUGCGGUAGGGGAGACUGGAAUUCCUGGUGUAGCGGUGAAAUGCGCAGAUAUCAGGAGGAACACCGGUGGCGAAGGCGGGUCUCUGGGCCGUAACUGACGCUGAGGAGCGAAAGCGUGGGGAGCGAACAGG
rnacentral:rRNA from 1 species